GGCGAAAACCAUUUGAUUAGCGUCCUUGGAGAGCGGAAUGAGUUUUCACGGUGUUCAUGGUGCAUGGUGCACGUUGAGAGGAAUAAUAAAUCGACACCCGUUUGAAACUCUCUGCGUCUUGAUCAAUAAAUCCAAGGGGCCGCUA